UUCCAUCCAUGUACCAGCCUCUUCCUUUUCCCUCUCAGUGGGGGCACCAUGCCACUGGCUGGCUGCAGCACAGGCCCCUCAUGCAGCAGCUCUGACCCCCGGGCCCGGGGAGGGGAGCCAAGCCCAGGGACAGGAGCCAGGCCCAGGGACAGGAGCUGAGCCCAGGGACAGGAGCCAGGCCCAGGGACAGGAGCUGAGCCCAGGGACAGGAGCCAGGCCCAGGGACAGGAGCUGAGCCCAGGGGCAGGAGCUGGGCCCAGGGACAGGAGCUGAGCCCAGGGACAGGAGCCAGGCCCAGGGACAGGAGCCGGGCCCAGGGACAGGAGCCGGGCCCAGGGACAGGAGCUGAGCCCAGGGACAGGAGCCAGGCCCAGGGACAGGAGCCAGGCCCAGGGACAGGAGCUGAGCCCAGGGACAGGAGCUGGGCCCAGGGACGGGAGCCAGGCCCAGGGACGGGAACUGGGCCUGGAUGCAGCAGAGGCUCUGUGGGCAGCCAGGACCCAGCCUACAGCCAGGCACGGCUGGGCUGCUGCAAGGCCAGAGAGUGGCCUCAGGCUGGGUUGCUUUUAGUUCAGGUUUGGAGUACCAAAAUCAAGUCCUUGCUUCUGUUACCACCUGUAAACACCAGCUUCUGUUUCUGUAUCUCUGGCACAUGCCUCAGCCUGCUGGCAGGCAGAGGGAAUGUCCUGAGCAAGGCCAGUUGUCCCAGGGGCUUACAAUGGUGGCUCUCAGAGUGAUUGACCAUCCUGUCUCCCAAAGCACAUCGUCUCCUAGAGAACCAGGAAAGCCUGGAAGUGCCUCAGCCAUUUGCCUUAAGGAGAGAAGCCUCACCCUUCACCACACUUUCUAAUGCACAGGCUUGCUCAUUUUCUGUGAAGAAUUAAAUAUCCCCAGUCCAGAAAUCUAGGCUGACUCACAUGGAAUGCAGGAAACCAAGCUUUUCUCACAGAUUAUCCUCUGCUAUGCUUCUAUAGCAAGCCUGAAAUAAAGAGAACUUGCCAGGACUCAGGGAUGUCAUGAAGUCUGUCUCUAAAAGGCUUAUUAAAAACUACAAGGAAGAUUUAUGGGUUUGCUUUUCUUCAA